AAGUGUUACAGCUCUUUUAGAAUUUGUCUAGCAGGCUUUCCAGUUUCUGGUGGGAAGCUCCC
ensembl:snRNA U7 U7 small nuclear RNA